UUUGAGAGGGUCUCUUCCAAGGCUCGAACACCCGUCAAAGUCCAACUUGACAGUGGCCACAGCCCAUAGAGGGUGCUAGGCCCGUAAGGUGGGUGUUCGGCUUUGCUGACCUCUCUCCAGAGUCGGGUUGCUUGAGAGUGCAGCCCAAAGUGCGAGGUAAACUCCUCGUAAGGCUAAAUAUGACCCCAAGACCGAUAGCAAACAAGUACAGUGAUGGAAAUUUGAAAAGGACUUUGAAGAGAGAGUUAACAGUACGUGAAACUGUAUGGCAGUAAACGAAGCCUUCCUCGAAGUCGUUCGGGAGGACUCAACUUUGGACGUUGGCGGCCCUCGCGGCGGGAUCAGCAAUGAACCGCCGCGGGACGUCGGCUGGCGUCCUGGGUGCAUUUCCUCCCGACGUUACGGUAGGAACCAUUGGGACCGGACCGAAGGCAUGGGAUGAAGUUUUCGCUUCGGCGUCAGCUCCCGUUGUCCUGGCUCUGGACCCGAUGGGCCACACGGGGGACUUGUAUAGCAAGUGAACUUGUUGUCACCGUUCCCCUUUCUCUACCGAGUAGGUCGGCGGAGGCUUCGACCCGUCUUGAAACACGGACCAAGGAGUCUAACAUGUAUGCGAGUCAUCGGGUUGACUAAACCCUGAGGCGCAGUGAAAGCAAAGGGCUGCUCGUCAGCCUGAGUGAUGAGGCCUCACGGCCGCAAUCACGCGACUUCCUAUCAACCUUGCUUUGUAGGGAGUACGCAGAGCAUAAAUGUUGGGACCCGAAAGAUGGUGAACUAUGCCUGGCCAAGUUGAAGCCAGGAGAAAUCCUGGUGGAGGACUGAAGCGAUUCUGACGUGCAAA
rnacentral:rRNA from 1 species